rnacentral:rRNA from 1 species
UACGGAGGGUGCAAGCGUUAAUCGGAAUUACUGGGCGUAAAGCGUGCGCAGGCGGUUUUGUAAGCCAGAUGUGAAAUCCCCGGGCUUAACCUGGGAACUGCAUUUGGGACUGCAAGGCUUGAGUACGGCAGAGGGGGGUAGAAUUCCUGGUGUAGCAGUGAAAUGCGCAGAUAUCAGGAGGAAUACCGAUGGCGAAGGCAGCCCCCUGGGUCGAUACUGACGCUCAUGCACGAAAGCGUGGGGAGCAAACAGG